rnacentral:lncRNA from 1 species
GUGAAAUGGUCAUAUGAGUUCACACAGUGACUGGGCCUUGCUUCUCUUUGUUCUUUGUAAGUUGGUGCUAUGAGUGGGUAAAUGCCUCAUGCAGCGAUGUAUGAAGCCAUUAUUUGUUUACUGCAGACAAACCUAGCAACCCAGGGAAUACUGGGAUAAGCAAGACAAUCAUAGUCUCCGGCUUUAUGGUAUUUAGAGUCUAGUUAUGGAAACAGACUUAAAAUAAUCACACAGAUGCAGUCAGUUGCCAACUGUGACAAGUAUUAUGAGGGAAUGACACAUGGCAUUCUGAGAGCUUAUGAUAAGAAAAGUGACCUCAUUAAGGAAGUUAGGAAAGAUUUUCACAGUUGAAGGGAAUCUUAGGGAUAAGAGGCAUUAAUUAGGUAACGCAGGGAGAAAAAAGCAUUAAGGCAGAGGAAACACUAUGUGUAAAGGUCUUGCAAUGGAAAGAGAAAUGCCUUAGAAGCAAAGACUGAAGAUUUCUGAAGAAGAAGCAAUCAUGCCUCAAUAAAGCAACCUAGAAACCCUGCCUGAGUUUCCAGCCUGCUGGCCCAUCCUGCAGAUUUAGAACUGAAAACUACAUCAACUAAUUUGCCUGCAUUCCCACUUUACCGGCCAGCCCUAGAGCUUUCAAA